GUUGUGAAGCUUUGGGGCUGUGCUUUGAAAUGAUCAUGCUUUAUUUGCUGCCUGUUUGUGUUUCUUUCUUGUCUUUACAGGCAGUGGUUGGAGAGAGUGAACGGUGGAGCAAUAGAUUAAAUGAGGACGAGAAGAAAGGACCCCUUAGGCUCGUUUCUUUAUCCUGUCAGAAUUCAACAUUAACAUGGGCUGAAAGGAUUCCUCCUCGCUUCACCAUUCAAACACUGCCGAGAGGCACAGCGACAUCUCGCUCGAGCAAGAGAGCGAGACAGAGAGAAAGAGUGAGCGUGAGUGUGUGAGAGAGAGAGAGUGGACUGCCAAGAUAAAUCACAUCAAAUAAGACACUAAAAUUCCUCUCAUUAGACAACUGCCCGGAGGUCUUGGAGGGACGGAUAUGGGCUGGCUUCAAAUCCAAUCCAAAAAGCGAUAUAUACCAUGCUCGAUCCUCGGGCAGAGGACUUCUUUCUGUUUCAGAGACCUGGCAGAAAACUAGAGGGGGAUAGAGCGUUUGCAGUCAGGGGCCUAAGGCUCUGAAACGAUCUGUCCGAGGAAAUCAGGUCAGCUGAGUCAGUAAACUCCUUUAAAUCCCUUCUUAAUAAUGUACUUUUAUCGGAGAGCCUUCCUGAUUUUAUUUGAGUUUUAUUUCCUUGAGCUGUCAAGUCUGUUUUAUUUUUUUUCUGCCCGUGUGAAGCACUUUGUAACGUGGGUUUUUGAAAAAUGCUUUAUUAAAUCAAAUAUUAUUAUUAGGCUAUUAUUAUUAUUCCCGUGCAAGACAUAGUGAUCCUGAAUUUGUCAAACUUGUAUUUGCACCACUUGGAGCGGCAGAAGCUGGACAUUUCAACAGUUUAUCCAUGACUCAUUACACUUCUCUGCUCAUUUGCAAACUAGUUUCAUGCCAUCUCAAUCACAGCACAUGGUGUUAUGGUGCUAUAAGUGACUCAGCUUGGUGCGACGCAUGUCCUGUGCUGUUGGUUUAUAAUAAAUAUCAGCACUUUGUAAUCCUAUUUGUGUUUUUAUGUUCCUCCUAAACCUAAACAUGUGGAUAAAUGUUUUUACCAAAUCAUAAUUUCAAUUUUUUCGAAUUAGUUGAUCCUAUCUCACAUUCUUUCCAAGUAUCCUGUGCAACUGCAGGACCCCUGGGUUAUAUGUACAGACAAACAAAUGGUCA